rnacentral:rRNA from 1 species
CUACGGGGGGCACCAGGCGCGUAACCUCUACAAUGCACGAAAGUGUGAUAGGGGGAUCCUGAGUGCUCAGCUAUGCUGGGCUUUUGCCAAGAGUAAAAACCUUGGCGAAUAAGUGGUGGGUAAGACUGGUGCCAGCCGCCGCGGUAACACCAGCGCCACGAGUGGUAAUCGCUUUUAUUGGGCCUAAAGCGUCCGUAGCAGGUUUUGUAAAUCUUAUGUGAAAUUGUUGCGCUUAACGUAACAGCGUGCAUAAGACACUGCAAGACUUGGGACCGGGAGGAGUCAGAGGUAUUUCUUGGGGAGCGGUAAAAUGCUAUAAUCCGAGAAGGACCACCUAUGGCGAAGGCAUCUGACUAGAACGGAUCCGACUGUGAGGGACGAAAGCCAGGGGAGCGAACCGGAUUAGAUACCCCUGUAGUC